UACGUAGGGUGCAAGCGUUAAUCGGAAUUACUGGGCGUAAAGCGUGCGCAGGCGGCUUUGCAAGACAGAUGUGAAAUCCCCGGGCUUAACCUGGGAACUGCAUUUGUGACUGCAUGGCUGGAGUGCGGCAGAGGGGGAUGGAAUUCCGCGUGUAGCAGUGAAAUGCGUAGAUAUGCGGAGGAACACCGAUGGCGAAGGCAAUCCCCUGGGCCUGCACUGACGCUGAUGCACGAAAGCGUGGGGAGCAAACAGG
rnacentral:rRNA from 1 species